rnacentral:rRNA from 1 species
GGCUUCCGGAGCUAACGCGUUAAGUCGACCGCCUGGGGAGUACGGCCGCAAGGUUAAAACUCAAAUGAAUUGACGGGGGCCCGCACAAGCGUGAGCAUGUGGUUUAAUUCGAUGCAACGCGAAGAACCUUACCUGGUCUUGACAUCCACGGAAUUCGGCAGAGAUGCCUUAGUGCCUUCGGGAACCGUGAGACAGGUGCUGCAUGGCUGUCGUCAGCUCGUGUUGUGAAAUGUUGGGUUAAGUCCCGCAACGAGCGCAACCCUUAUCCUUUGUUGCCAGCGGUCCGGCCGGGAACUCAAAGGAGACUGCCAGUGAUAAACUGGAGGAAGGUGGGGAUGACGUCAAGUCAUCAUGGCCCUUACGACCAGGGCUACACACGUGCUACAAUGGCGCAUACAAAGAGAAGCGACCUCGCGAGAGCAAGCGGACCUCAUAAAGUGCGUGUGCCGGAUUGGAGUCUGCAACUCGACUCAUGAGUCUGGACGCUAUA